UAAACAGAUAGAACACAUCCAAUGGAAAAUAAGCUGGGAAGGACACAAAGAUAAGGGAAGGUGUCCUCCAUUUUGUUUUUACUGUGAGACAAUAAGGAGCCCAGUUUCUUCAAAAUGUUCUCUGUUUAUCAUGAUGCAGUACAAGAAACAUCAUUUAAACACUAAGGAAAUUUGAGCCACAUAAGUCGAGAAUUUUUCUAAUGUAAAAAUACUCACUUGACAGGGAGGAGGCACAGCAAGACGGAGGAAUAGAAUGCUUCACCCAUCAUCCCUUCAACAAGAACACCAAUUAACAACUAUCUACACAGAAAAAACACCUUCAUAAGAACCAGUUAUCAGAAAGAACUAAUAAUGUUUGAAGAUAGAAAGAAAGAAAAUGAAGAGAGGAAGGUG
rnacentral:lncRNA from 1 species